ensembl:snoRNA SNORD22 Small nucleolar RNA SNORD22
UCCCAGUGAAGAAACAUUCAGGGACAUACCUCCUGUCUCAGUCCCAGAUCCUGUAAAGAUAAACCCUCUGGGACUGGCUGGGGAGAGGAGGAAAGUGUAUUGCAGAAGGAACUGUCUGAGGGAG